rnacentral:rRNA from 1 species
GCAAGUCGAACGGUAACAGAACUAGCUUGCUAGAAGAUGACGAGCGGCGGACGGGUGAGUAAUGCUUGGGAACAUGCCUUGAGGUGGGGGACAACAGUUGGAAACGACUGCUAAUACCGCAUAAUGUCUACGGACCAAAGGGGGCUUCGGCUCUCGCCUUUAGAUUGGCCCAAGUGGGAUUAGCUAGUUGGUAAGGUAAUGGCUUACCAAGGCGACGAUCUCUAGCUGGUUUGAGAGGAUGAUC